GGAUGUAAGGGUGAUCUGGCUGUGACAUCUUUUAACCCGUUGAUCUCCAGCGUCAAUUCAGCCAAUUCAGCAGGCUAGGCAGAUGAUCCCUUCCUCCCUCAACACUCCAUGGGCAUCCCUUCCAAAUCUCCUUGCUCCAUCAAAAAGGAUAACUUUCCCUGAAUAUAUGAGGACCCAUUUUCAAUCAAUGGUAUUUAUAAGUAGCUGUGCUUCCCUGGUAGAACCUCCAAACAAGCUCUCAAGAAGUAGAAUCACUAACUGAUCAGUGGUCUAUUUAAUUCAGCAUACUUUUGAAGUUCAUU
rnacentral:snRNA from 1 species